GACAGACUAGAGUGACUAGUCGCUCUGGAUAAGAGCGUCUGCUAAAUGACUUAAA
rfam:Salmo salar isolate Sally breed double haploid chromosome ssa22, whole genome shotgun sequence.